rnacentral:misc_RNA from 1 species
GAUCAUAAUUCUCUUAAGUCAAAGGCUUGAGGGCUCUUUAGAUAUAAUGGUAAUAAUUCUCUUAAGUCCAAGGCUACCAAGCCCAAGAUGACACCCAAAUAAAAUGCACCAUUGAAUUACUCGCCAUUCACUUGUAUCAUACUUUUGAGUAAAGAUAAUAUUUAGUCAUAAUACUAACGUAGAGAGUUGAACGAGAUGGGAGAAGACUAUCUCAUUAAGCUAACUACCUGAUUGAGAAUUUAACGCUUCUCUUUUUCCAAGUAAAAAAUUUAUUCAUAAGAAUAGUAAUGUUCUGCAAAUUAUAUUGAGUUCAAUGUGAAGGAUGGAUACUUCUAUGCUUCCUACCACCCUUUGCAGGCAUGAUUACUUUCCUGAGAAAGAAGCAAGUGCAGCAAAAGAACGGGUGUGAUAACCUUCAAAGGCCUACAUUGACAUGAUCCAGUGUUGUCUGCUUUUCGCGUAUGUUCAAGUAAUUAUGUUUUCAUCUGUGAAUAGCUAAAUUUGCGUAGUAGCUUGAUUGUGACUACCAAUUGUGAAUUUAUUAUAUUUUGUUAAAGAGUUGUUUGAUGAAUAGAAUUAUUUAUCGCUGUAUAAUUUAUUAAUUGUUAUUUAAUAGAU